AGUUUCUGAGGACGGAACUGGUAGCCGUAGCCCAUCAAAAGAUGUAGGAGAUGUGGGAGUACCACCCCACCUAAACU
rnacentral:ncRNA from 12 species